UACGUAGGGGGCGAGCGUUGUCCGGAUUUAUUGGGCGUAAAGCGCAUGUAGGCGGUUUUGUAAGUUUGAUGUGAAAUCCCUGGACUCAAUUCAGGAACUGCAUUGAAUACUGCAAGACUAGAGUAUGAGAGAUGUAGGCGGAAUUCUUGGUGUAGAGGUGAAAUUCGUAGAUAUCAAGAGGAACAACAGAAGCGAAGGCGGCUUACUGGAUCAUUACUGACGCUGAGAUGCGACAGUGUGGGGAGCAAACAGG
rnacentral:rRNA from 1 species